ACAAGCCUGAGAAACGGCUAGUAGGACUAAGGUCUGCAGCAGGCGCGAAACUUACACAAUGCUAGAUUAAAAUUAGCGAUGUAGUGAAGAAAAAUAACGAUGUACUUUUAUUUAAACAUAAUAGUACAAUUGGAAUGAGACGACUAUAAAUGAGUUAGUCGAGUAACAAAUGGAGGGCAAGUCUGGUGCCAGCAGCCGCGGUAAUUCCAGCUCCAUUAGCAUACAUUAAAGUUGUUGCGGUUAAAAAGCUCGUAGUUGAAUUUUAGACGGUCUCUAGAGUUGUGCUUCCGCUAAGGCUUUGGCGCACUCGUGCCCAUCGCUGGUCGUACUAACUUUUAGGAGGCCGUUGUUUCGUCACUUAAUCGAGUGCGAAGCGGGCUGGUACAGAGCCAAUUCGUUGGCUCCUGUUUCAGCAUGUUUACCUUGAGAAAAUUAGAGUGCUCACAGCAGGCAGUUGGGGUGUAAAAGCCCCUUUAAUGCUUGAAUAAUGUUGCAUGGAAUAAUAGAAUACGGCCUCGGUUCUAUUCUGUUGGUCUUAUAGAACAACAAACAAGUUGGUUAAGGCGAUCAAAGGUUUGCUUGGAGUGGGGUUCAAUGGGGAGUCUUGUUGCCGUGAGGUAAAACUUACGCGCCAUACCUCCGUUAACUAUCCAACUGCUCCUUGUAGGCUAGCCUUCUAAUCAACUGAGGCAAUGGUUAAAAGAAAUAGUCGCGGCGGCAUCAGUACUGCAUCGUGAGAG
rnacentral:rRNA from 2 species